rnacentral:rRNA from 1 species
CCUACGGGUGGCAGCAGUGAGGAAUAUUGCACAAUGGGCGAAAGCCUGAUGCAGCAACGCCGCGUGAGCGAUGAAGGCCCUCGGGUUGUUAAACUCCUUUCUCAAGGAAGCUAAUGGCGGUACUUGUGGAGGAAUGCCCGGCUCACUACGAGCCAGCAGCCGCGGUACUACGGAGGAGGCCAGCGUUAUCCGGAAUUACUGGGCGUAAAGGGGGCGUAGGUGGUUUCUUAAGUCAGAGGUGAAAGGCUUCGGCUCAACCGUAGUAAGCCUUUGAAACUGGGGAACUUGAGUGCAGGAGAGGAGAGUGGAAUUCCUGGUGUAGCGGUGAAAUGCGUAGAUAUUAGGAGGAACCCCGGUUGCGAAGGCAGCUCUCUGGACUGUAACUGACGCUGAGGCACGAAAGCGUGGGGAGCAAACAGGAUUAGAUACCCUAGUAGUC